rnacentral:misc_RNA from 1 species
GAAAAAGUCACAAAAGACACAUAACAAAACCAUGGUUCCAGCCUAGAAAUGGUAAAAUUCAAGCCAGUUAAGUAAAACCCAUAACAAAAGAUAGAUAGAUCUAGUAACCGCCCUUGAGAUCGUUGACCACAUCAUAGGGAAUGGGAGUGACAGUCUCCAGGGUCGCCCCCUCUACCAUGAAACCCGGCUUCGGACCCUGUGGCUGGCGUUUUGUGCUGAUCACCUCACCACGAGCCUUCGCCUCAGCCUUCAACUGGUCGUUCUUUAUCUUCCUCAGCCUGAACUCCUCAGUGCACCUCGAGGGCAUCACAUGCUCCACACGCACAUGGAUCCUCUUCUUGAUAAUCCUGUUCCCCACCUGCUUAUUGAUCUCCACGCCGAUGGCGCGUUUGGUGACGUUCCAGACGCGACCGGUACGGCCGUGGUAGAACUUGUGAGGCAUCCCCUUGUGGAUGGCGCCGUUGGCCUUCACAUCCACAUACUCACCGAUGUGGUAGGUGCGGAGGUACGUCGUCAACGGGAUGUACCCCUUCUUCCUGAAGGGACGGGCGAAGAGGUCGCGCGUGCGCGAGCGCUGCCCAUGACCGGCCGGCAUCUCGUACUUCGC